rnacentral:snRNA from 1 species
CAGCUCGAGUUUCUCUUCAUUGUCGCAUAAAUCUUUCGCCUUUUACUAAAGAUUUCCGUGGAGGGGAACUUUUGCGACAUUUUUUCUUGUUUUUUUCCUGUUAUCCACAACUUUAGAUUA